GUCUUGGUGGUCAGCCUCACAAUGCAAAAAUCUCCAACAAAACCAAGGGUGUUUUCAUUGAAAGGAUAUUAGAAGAUUACGAUGAGGAUGAUGGUGAAGGUUCUGAUCCACCAACUAGGUAGUUUCUUUGAAGAUGACUCGAAGAGCAAUCUCGGCAAGUUGAACAAAUUUUCAGCCGAGAAGUAAAAAGCAUACUGGAGGUGAUACGUAGUAAUGGUGACACAC
rnacentral:lncRNA from 1 species